rnacentral:lncRNA from 1 species
CUUUUUUUUCAUAAGGACUCCAAUUCAUGAAUCAUGUGAUAAUUGCCAUCUCCUUCACCUUUUUUCCUUCGAAUGUGCCUUUGGAAAGAAGAAAUUUAGAAAAGUAGAGAGAACAGUAACUGGAUUUGAAUCCGUUCAGUUCAACUAAAUGAAUUUUCUACAGGCCUGGUGUGUGAAGUUGUUGAAUCAGAUAGGUCUCAAAGCAUUGCUUAAUUUGACGACAUCCACCACAGCCC